AGGCAUUCGUGUGUGUUUUAUCGUAGAACAUCGUGCUGCCAUCUGGGAAGAGAAACACCAUGGUACAGGAGCAGCUGGUGAAUGAGAAUGGCCAAAUAAACAUUGGCACUCAUUCUGCCAUUAGGUGACUGACAACCUCUGUGGAUCUUGGUAUAUCUGCA
rnacentral:lncRNA from 1 species